ACACAGAUGACCGAAGCACUUUUCCUGCCCUCGAGGAGCUCACAGUCUAGUAUGUCUCUAUCCUACUAGACUGAGGCUCCUUGAGGACAGGGAUCGUCAUACUCACCUCGGUGUUG
rnacentral:precursor_RNA from 13 species